rnacentral:rRNA from 1 species
GCCUACGGGGGGCAGCAGUGGGGAAUAUUGCGCAAUGGGCGAAAGCCUGACGCAGCGACGCCGCGUGAGGGAUGAAGGUCUUCGGAUCGUAAACCUCUGUCAGCAGGGAAGAACGGUCACUGUGCUAAUCAGCAGUGAAUUGACGGUACCUGCAAAGGAAGCACCGGCUAACUCCGUGCCAGCAGCCGCGGUAAUACGGAGGGUGCGAGCGUUAAUCGGAAUUACUGGGCGUAAAGCGCUCGUGGGCGGUAUGUCAAGUCAAGGGUGAAUUCCCCGCGCUCAACGUGGGAACUGCCUUUGAAACU